UUGUGCCAUUCAGAGCCUGCUCCCUUUGCUAUUGAAGAACUUAUUUCCCUACAUGUCAGGACUUCUGCUGGCUGAUGGCCCCCAGCUGUGAGCUCUUUCAGGCAUCACCUUUGGCUGCAAAGGCUCCCUCUCCUGAGGUUACUACCUGCAUCCCUGGAGGCAGACUUCAUCUCAUGUCUUCAUCCAAAGUUUGAACAAAUUGGCUAAGAAGGUGCUAGACAUGCAAAGGGACUAAUUUUUUUCUUAAUUCAAAUGUAGGAGGAGUAUAGAUCUCCAGGAACCAGAAGAGCUGCAUACAUAUGCCCAACAAUUCAGAGACAGCACCAUCAGCCCAGAUGGGGGUUGUGAGCAAAGUCUGAGAUGGUCAGAAGGAAAGGAGAACCUGGGAGGUGGCGAGUGUCCACUGCAGCACCGCUCACUGCUCUAGUCUCAGGACAGCCUGCUCUGUUAAAGCACCUGGUCCUUCUUCCUGAAGACUUCAGUCCCACCUUGCAUUAUGUUUUGUUCUGUGUAUGUGCGUGUCUGUCUCUCCUGCUAACUGCUGAGCUUGCUAAGGAAAGGAACCUCGUUUUAUUAAAUAAAUGAUAUUUAUGAGC
rnacentral:lncRNA from 1 species